CUUUGACAUUCUCAGCUUCGAUAGUCUUUGUAACCGGAGCCACGCUCGCCAAAGUUCCCAACUCCAUCCCAUCGAGUAUAGCCAUGGGACUCAUAUCCUCCAAGUUUAGUUCUUCGCCCGGGAGAGAACUGUAACCUGGAGUCGUAUUCAUCUUCUUGCUCUUCCUGCUGUUUUUUACUCGGUACGAGUCUCAGUCUCUUACCAGCAGUC
rnacentral:lncRNA from 1 species